rnacentral:lncRNA from 1 species
ACUAUUUCAUAAAGAGAAGAACUCAGAAAGUGGAUUCAGGAAACACAGGAAGAGGAGUCCUGGAGUAUCUCUAGAAAUUUCUCGGUAAAAUCCACAGGACCAGUAUCUGCCACAAUAAGAUGGGCGGCAGCAGCUGUAUCCAUACCCACCGGAGACAGAGCCACGGCCACAGCCAGAACCACAGCCAAGGCCGCCACAGUAGUUACUGUAGUAGCAGCACAAGGUGCCAGCAAUUAAAGGUUCCGUUGAUGGUGGGAACCAGUGUCCUCAAUCCGAAUGCCACCGUCUUCCAGGGCUUUUAUGUAUCUUCAGUGAUGGCUAGAGCAAACCACACCUGGAUUGAGGAUUUUGCUACUUUGAAGAGAUAGCAUGGGAUGAAUACGACCAGAAGCGGAAUCCAUGUUUCGCAGGAGGACACGUCUUGUGAGUCCAAGGGUUCUAGAAUUUUUCAGUACAAUCCAUAUGACCAAUAUCUACCGUAGCAGGAUGGGCUGCAGCAGCCAUAUCCGUAGCCACCGUACCCGUGACAGCCACAGCCGUAGCCACGGCCAUAGCCCCC